AGUGAACGCUGGCGGUAGGCCUAACACAUGCAAGUCGAACGGCAGCACAGUAAGAGCUUGCUCUUACGGGUGGCGAGUGGCGGACGGGUGAGGAAUACAUCGGAAUCUACUUUUUCGUGGGGGAUAACGUAGGGAAACUUACGCUAAUACCGCAUACGACCUACGGGUGAAAGCAGGGGAUCUUCGGACCUUGCGCGAUUGAAUGGGCCGAUGUCGGAUUAGCUAGUUGGCGGGGUAAAGGCCCACCAAGGCGACGAUCCGUAGCUGGUCUGAGAGGAUGAUUCGCUACCUGGGAACUGAGACAGGGCCCAGACUCCUGCGGUAGGAAGCAGUGGGGAAUCCUGGACAAUGGAGGAGAGCCUGAUCCAGCCAUACCGCGUGGGUGAAGAAGGCCCUAGGGUUGUAGAGCCCUGUUGUCGGGAAAGAAAAGCAGCAGGUUAAUAUCCCGCUGUUCUGACGGUACCCAAAGAAGAAGCACCGGCUAACUUCGUG
rnacentral:rRNA from 1 species